GGGGAUGUAGCUCAGAUGGUAGAGCGCUCGCUUAGCAUGCGAGAGGUACGGGGAUCGAUGCCCUGCAUCUCCU
rnacentral:tRNA from 1 species